GACAGAGGGUGCUAGCGUUGUUCGGAAUUACUGGGCGUAAAGGGCGCGUAGGCGGCUUGUUUAGUCGGGUGUGAAAGCCCAGGGCUCAACCCUGGAAUUGCCUUCGAUACUGUUUGGCUAGAGACCGGAAGAGGUAAGUGGAACUGCGAGUGUAGAGGUGAAAUUCGUAGAUAUUCGCAAGAACACCAGUGGCGAAGGCGGCUUACUGGUCCGGUUCUGACGCUGAGGCGCGAAAGCGUGGGGAGCAAACAGG
rnacentral:rRNA from 1 species